UGUAAUGGCAUUUAUUAUAAAAAGUCUUCUCAAAAUGUUUACCAGGAAAAUAAGGCAGUUUACAAUCAGAAUAGUUGACCUUUUGAUAUUCUAAGACAUAAUUUACUUUGCAUAAACCUGCGAUCGGUUCUCUUUAUUCAUAUUCAGCCUGAAUUCAAUUUCAAGUACCUGGUUCAGUAAUGCUACAGUUACUUUAUACAUUUGUUUUGUCAUGCAGCAUGCAGCCUUGGUGGUCGUAAUACAACUUGUAUUUGUGUACCACUUUUUUUCUCAUGUUAAAAACCUUUAAUUACAACAUGUAAUUCAAAUCACAGCCAUGAAAAGAUUUUGCAGCCAUAUUGUAAAACCGCCAUGGUGAUCAUACUGCAUUUUCACUAGUUUCAAUCUGGAGUAAACCUAAAGUGAAAUCUGCCAGCUCCAAACCAAGACUCAUGGUGACUUUCAAUUGCUUUCUGCUUCACUCCUCACUCACUGAAGAUCUGCUGUAUUGGACUGCUUUAAGUAAUGAACAACGUGUGGAUGCAAUAACAACUGGACAUGGUUGUAUAUAAUAUGAAUCUUAAAAAUUCAAUACAUCGUGUGUUGUAAUAGACAUACUUAAUUCACUCAUGUGAAGUAAACAUUCUCUGAAUUUUGGGGCCUGCAAUCUUUUGUUGCUUCUGUGUGAACCAUCAUGGUUCCUAACUGCCGUCAUGUUUUGGCCACAACUGUCUCCUAAGUCUUCAAUUAAUACUUGAUUUAAUGGAAACUCUGUGAAGCCCAGCCUCCAAGGGAUUGUAACUUGGGUGAAAAAUUCAUGGGAUAAAGUCACUGACAGCUGUGUUUCCUAUGCCCUGUGAGCAGGCUACGUGGAUGAGAUGUGCACAUUUUAAGAGAGCUCUACUGCUGGACCUGAGAGGCUGGGGCCAAUAUUUCCAUAGAAAUGGAAUUUCAAGACAUUCAGUCCAUAAUGUGGGGUUUGGAGAACUAUAAUAGUGUUCUAGAAAAAGGUGACAAGACUGUAUUUGAAGAAAUACGGAUUUUUGUAUAUGAAAAAAAUAAGAUUACCCUGAAAAAUAAGUCCUGGUGCAUCUUUUGGAGCAAAAUUUAAGGCCACCAGCUUGGUGCUACUAGGAGGUGGUGGAGCCCUCAGGAGUUGGAAUCUAGUGAAAGGUCUCCAGUCACUGGGCAGAACCCCCUGAAGGGGACAGCAGGAUCUCACGCCCUUCUUCUUCUCUUCCCAGCCAUGAGAGAGAACAGGCCCAGCUGCAGGCGUGCAUGCCAGUGCAGGCGGCACCAGCAAGAACAGACUGGGAAACGGUGCGCACUCCUGCAGGCAGGACCUGUGGCGGGGAGCAGUCUGAAGCAAGAGGGAGAAUAUGAAGCAGCUGCUGGUCAUCAGGUGAGCAUUAUGUCCUACCACACAGACAGGAAGAACAGAAGUGGGUGGGAGCGUUUUAUAUCAAAGAGCUCUAGGAGAAAGCAGGAAACAAAAGAUCUGCCCCAGUUCCUAUACCCAGAAGACAAGGUCAUGCUCAUAGGCUGCUGCACAAGCCCCACUUGACUGGAGUACGCAUUGCUGGAUUCGGACUUGGAAACUGCCAGAGAACUAUGGACACCAGGGCAAUUUUCCUACUUUUAUUUUCCUCUGUCUGGCUGUUUGUUCUCUGGUUGGUUUUGCCUGUUUUGUUUGUGGCUGUGUUACUUUGCCUUUAUUUUGUCUUUUUCUUUUCUUUCAGCUUUCUUUUUUUUUUUUUCACCAUGUUUUUUUUUUUUUUUUUUCUAUUCAUCUUAUUUGUCUUUUCCUCAAAUAUCUCCUGAUUUGGUAGCUUCACACGAAUGAAUAUUGUUUCUUGUCUUUCUGGUUUACUUCAAUACCCCUUCACUUGCAGUUUCAUUUUCUUGUCUCCUGUGUCCUCCAGUUUCCCAAAAUUUCAAUUAUUAUCCUUAAACCCCAGCCUUGCUUCUACUAUGUUUGAACUUUUUCAUCUCUCUGUCUUGUCCUUUAUCUCUGUAAAUUCUUCUCUCUUCCCACACAGGGUAAAAUCACUCCAUUUAGGGGGAAAUCAUUGCAUACAAGUUCCUGAUAUAUAUAUUGCAUUUUGUUAUAUAACUGUAAAAUUUGCUCCUCUGGUUAAAGGUAUCAGGUUGACAGUUACAGUUUGUCAGUAGAUAGCCUGUACUUGAUGCUACUAUUAUUGACAACUGUACUACGUUAGGCAGGAUUUCAUAUAUGGCUAUGUUUUUGUCCCUUGUAUGAUAAUAAGGUGAUUGUAUGAGAUCACAGUCACAUUCAUUGUUCAGGACCAAAGGAUUGGGUGCCAAGCCAAAUAGAUAACAAUUUUUCAUCCUUAAUCAAUUGGGAAAAUAGGAUUUUGGGAUAGACAAAAGACAUUUCCUAGGGAGUCCUAAAUAUUACUGAUAAAGAUGCCUACCAUAAGAAAUCAGCAAGCAAAACACAGAAAACAAAAUAAAGUAAAAGGAGAAGAUGAAAAUAUGCAGAAGCAAAAUGCAACCCCAGACCCCCCAGCCCACCCAUGGCAAGCCCAGAGCACAGUGAGAUAAAGGAAAUCAAAAGCGAAGCAUUGAAAUUUUCUGAAAUGAUAGCAAAAGAGCGAAAAAAAAAAGGAAGAGAUCAUAGAAAAAAUCUCUCAAGUACACAGAUAAAUGGUGAUCAAAAUGAAAGACAUUAAAGCAGACACAGAUUUUAAAAAAGGACAGGACUUUGGAAACUGUGAAUGCCCAAUGUAGGAAGAAACAGAAUCCUUGAAACAUAAUCAAAUAGCAAUUCAGAUUAAAAUCACCGCUGAAAGUAUAUAAAACAGAUCAAAAAUCUCUCAGCAUGGAAUAUCAGAUCUAGAGUACAGGAUUGGGGCUAGGGACUAUAAAAAGAAAGAUUCCUUAAAAAUUUUAAGAGAUCAUAAAUCCAAUAUUUGCUAGAGGAAGCAAAGAAGACCAUCAUAAGUUUGAAUGGAAUCAAUGAAAAAGCUGGAGAUGGCACAAAGGCCAUAAAAGUUUUCUUCACAGAAUUAAUGGCAGAAAACUUCCCAAACAGGAUUAAGAAUUAACUAUUUAUCCCAAGAAUUAACUGUGUAUCCCAAACAGGAUAAAGAAUUGUACAUAAAAUAGAGUUUAUAGAACUCCACACAUCCAGGAUGAAAGGUAUGUCUAUAAACCUAUCUUCCUCAGGAUAGUAUGUUUAAGCAUCCAUGGGUUUUGAGUAGAUGACUACAGUGUCAAAGUAGGCAUAGUAACUAGGACAAGGAAGAUAUUUUCACUGAAAAAUCAUAUCUAAAUUUAGCUAAUCUGGAGUUUUAAUAUCUUAACCCUGGACAUAUGUAAAAACACUAAUAAGAUUAUCUAUUGAGCUAAAACAGACAUAUUUUCUUGUUCGCUAUUAAGGCUUUCAAAAAACCUGCUAUAUUAGAAUACAAUUAGGGUUCAAAUUUUAACAUAGAGACAUAUGCUUAUGUUUAUACAUAUGAAUACAGAAAGAUAUACACAUAUGUGUAUAUACACCCAUAUACAUGUAUAUAUAAAACUACUCACCUAGAACAGUAAUCCAAGUAAGACCUUAGUACUAGUUUUAAAACCAAAGUAUUAAACACAGGAAAGAAAUACAAGAGAAUUAUCAGUUCAGUGCCUGUACUUGUUAUACGUAUGAGUGUUGGGUACCUGAGAGUGAAUUUAUUUGCUGAAAUCAUCCUUGAUGCCUGCACAUAAUGGCAGAUUAUCAUUUUUUCCUAGGUGACAUGAACAACAAUCUUUACACCUCUUCUGCUCUAAACUUUCUUCAGUAUAAUUGUAAUAUGAAUAACUCAUAUUUAUGGAUUGUGUUGAACAGGAAAGCUUUUAACCAGGCAAUUAUAAAGCUAAAAAUAUAAAAUUUCCCUAUUCAUCAAUAUUUCUUAUAUAAUGCAACAGAAGCAACGUCAGGACCCAGGACUCCUUGGAUUAAGUCUAAUAGGAUAGAAACCAGCAUAAUUGUCAAUGUUGAGUUACAUAGUUACUAUAUUAUACAUUAAAAUUGAUUAUAAAUAAAAUGAAUAAUUGCAAAAAAUAGAUGAGAUAGUCUAACAAAUGAAGCAGAAGACACAUUGUUGGGAAAAAAAACAGAUGUGCAAUAAGAAUGAAAUGGUAAUAAAAGAGAAACAGUCAUCAUACAAUGUAAAAUAGAGUAUAGGAAGAAAGGCAGUAGCUUUUAUGCAUUUUUGGUAGGAUAUCCCAGUGAGAGGAUACACUGGUAUGUGUGUUACAAAUAAAACAGAAAUUUGCAAAAGUUUAAUGCUGAAUUUUAAGAUGAAAUGAUAAAGUAGGAAGAGUUAUGUAGCACCUACAUUUAUUUUACACACACAUUUUAGGUUACUGUAUUUGUAAAAUUCUAUAAAAUAUUUGUACAUGUGUUUAGACCCUCAUAUUUAUCCAGAUAGUAAAAAUAUAAAAAUGAAACAAUUAUUAGAAGUUCAAAGUUUAAGAAGUGUCUCUGUCUCAGGUGGAAAGAGUAUUACUCUGGCAGUAUUAAAUAUUUCUAGAUUCAUUUAAACAUUUUGCAAUGCACACAUGUAUUGAAACAUCACAAAGCACCGCAUUACAAUGCACAACUUUUAUUUUUUUGUUCAUCAGUUAAAAUUAAUUUACAAUUUUACACUUUUUAAAUAGUCAUGUAAGUUAUAGCAAACUUUUUGCGAAUUCAGUCAUAGAUGUAGGUACAUACAUUUCACUAUGGUUAGUAAUUUUAGUUGCACCUAUUAAAUAAUUCAUACUUUCCAAUUAAAUAAAACCAUUCCAAAAUUUACAUAUUAAUAAAAGUAUAUUGAGUAACAAAAGUACAAUUUCCUGGAGUCACUUAAAUUUUUCUCUUGUUAUCAAAUAAGCUGACAUGAACAAUACUAUAUUGUGACUUUCAAAAUGACCUUCAUUGAUUAUUUUCAUAUAACAUAGCCAAAAGUUCAUGAAAAAUUUUCUCUAGGGAAGUUAACUUCUCAAUUCAUAUUGCCAAUGAAUGUGCUUUGGCAGAAAAUUUGCCAAAAAUGACAUUUACUUUUUGGGAAAUUAUGAUAUCACUUAAUAGAAGCUUGGAGUAUAUAGCACUCAGACAACUGUCAAAUUGGUCCUAGGCCUUGAGAGAUCUGAAUGUUCAUUAGCAGAAGGGUUAGAUAUUAACUGAAACUUACCUCUAUUCAUUUCAAGAUGCUGAAUUAAGUUUAGAGAGAAUGAUGAAACAUUCUUAUUAGAGGUGGCACAAUGUUCAAGGUAAUAUGAAUGCUACAAGCCUAUAGCUACCUAAAUCAUUUUGCCAGAUAACUGGAUUUAAAAAUGGUUUACAAUUUUGUGAGAUACCAAUUUCUCUUUUGCAGUUCAGACCCUUUUCAAGAAUUAGAUCCCUCAAUUCAAGUAUAUCUUAAAAUUUAGGAAACUCUUAGAAAAAAAAAAGUUAGUUAAAUUCAUUCUAGUAUCUUUCCAAGUGAAAAGAAACAGCUAAGCAGUAAUUUAAAAUAUGUUGCAAAAUAUUUCAGCAUAAGAAUCAGGACAUUAAUAAUCCUACCAAAUUUGAGAAAUAAAAAGGUUUUGCUUUUUAUUAUAAUGUUAACUUUGGCAAGGUUUGGGAGGCCCAAUUUUUCUGUAUUCACAUAUAUAACACACCAAAUUGCUAAGCAGUCUAUUUGAGAUGAAAAAAAAGGUAAUAUUCACAAUAGCAGAGAAAUUUAAUUACUACAUUUUUACUGUUUUCUUAAUAUGUUACUUGUAUUUGGAACAUCAUUUACCUCAAUUGGCAAAUACGUAAUUGUUACUUUUGGUUUGUUUUUCCCUCGCUUUUAGAAAGAAUAUAUUUUUCAAAAGUAGCCAUAGUCUUUGUUUUUAUAAUCAAUCCAUAUUAUAUCAAAAAUAAUACAUUUCAAUAAAUACCAGUGGCAUAAGUGAUUUAAUGAAUGAAUGAAACAAGACACAGCUAGCUCCUAUAAUUAAUGUUAUUUUGUUAUGCGAAUAUAUUACAAGAAAUGAGACACAAUAUGACAAAUAGUUGAAAGGCAAAGAAAAUAGACUUUAAAUUCUGGGAGAGUGGGGUUAUGAGUGUGAAAAAUUCUUAGUAAUUUCAUGGCAUUGGAAUCCAUAGAAAGCUUAUGCACAGAGCUUUAAAAUAAAAUUUAAAAAGAACCACCAAUUGAUAUUGGAACUUGAACGUUGAAAAUAAUAUCAACCGUUUUGCCAGAUCUAAAAUUUCCCAGAAAGUCUCAUGUGUUCAAACUUUGUGUUUUGAAAGUUGCCUGGAUCAUCAGGGCACUACACUCAUCAAGGGAUUCACUAAUGUGAAUUUAGCAGUUGAGUGUGCUCUUUAGAGUCUGGCGAGAGGCAGGUACCUGGGCCUUGACCUGGAGGCAUCUAUGACUGUCUGGUCCGAAUUCACUGUGUGAAUUUUGACCACCAUGACAUGAGCUGAUUUCUUCCUGUCAGGCCUUUCCAUCAUGCCAUUUCUCUCUUGCAGACAGUGAAAUAUUAGCCUAAAUAAAUCUUUUGUUCUUAAAGUUCUGGGUAUUGAAUAUUUUGUCCCUGCAAGAAAGAAAGUCACCGAAAUAGAUUUUUAUACACAAAGUGGGAUAAUUUCUGUGAAUGUAUCGGACUUACUGGCUUCCACUUGUUUGGAAGACAUUCUUGGGAGUAGUUUGAAAAUCUGACCAGAAAAAUCUAGAAUACUGUUUGCCAAGGUAGGUGGGAAAUUCUGAUCAGAGCUAGAAGAACAGAAUACUGAUAGGAAUGCAUACAGUAAAGCUAGUCUCCGGAAGUUCCAGUUAGGAAUACGAACUCCAUUUGCUGUUGGACUCCUGGUCAUGGGUGUCAUACUCUGGCAAAAAAUCAAAUGAAAACUUUAUCUAAAUCAUGAGACUAUGCAGAAGGUUAAGAUUAAGUAUGAUGGAUUUAUGUGGCUGAGGAAAGUUCAAGGCGGCCCAAUAGUUCAUCUAUAGUUAGGGAUGCUUGCUGUUUCUAGCAAGAUCUGUUAUGAAAACGAGAAAAAAAAAUGACAGUUAAAUUAUUUUAAAAAUUUGCAGUUUCAUCAGAAAUAUAGCAUGGGACAGUUGGCAGAAAGGAGAGUACAGUUGUUUAAAAGAUUAGCAUGAAAAAAGAGCCAAAUUCUUUGAAUCAGGAAAGUAAGAAAAUUAUCUGAGGAACAUUUCAUAAAUUAAGCAUACUUGACCCAUCAGAAGACUAAAAGUCCUACAAUGAAAGACUUUGGUUUGGAACUAGAGCCCUGAGGAGCCAAGUUCAUGCAGUGCUAUCCAGGAAAGCGUUUCCUGUAGUUCAAGCAUCAGAAGUCUUUGUAACCAUGAUCCAAGAGAAACUGGAAACUGGCAGAUCUGACCACAGACCUCCACAUCUUCCACAUGGUGCUGGUUUUAUGGGAAAGAAGAAUGUAAGAGCUGUGUGUCCUCUACCCAGAUUUCAGAAGAUGUGGUAGGUCCAGCAGUGUGGCCCUGAAAGUAAGUCAUUAAGCUGUAAAGGGGAAGCCAAAAGUGUAAUGGAGGCUUGAGAAAGCUGAAGAUGCCAAGUCUGAGGAACACCUAGUCAGAAAAGGUGCAGGCAGUUAGCAGAACCACCCCAAUAAAGGCCACGAGGGCUUCAAUAGGCAAAUUCACAUGGACCGGGUUUCACAAAAACUUGGGUUCUCAUAUGUUCUCACAACUUUCCCUGAGUGCUGGACACAGUGCUCUAGAAUUUAAUGCUCACUAUGCUGGGCUCCAUUCUCACUUUGAUCCAGUCUACAUAACUCUCUGUAUCUCAUUUCAGUCUUUUGGAAUAGAAGGUUUAUGAUGUGCCAUUAUAUGGUGGUAGUAUUUUAAAUAUUUUUAACAGUGGCUCAUGGCUAAGAGUAUGCCUUCAGUCUCAAAGGAAAUUUUAGACUAGGACUUUUCCAAAAAGUAGUUCUUGGACUUUUAAAACCUUGGUGAAUCUUGGUGAUUGGGUAAGUACAUUUUACACAAAGAGAUGAUAAAUCUUUUCAGGACCAGAACAGAAUUGUAAGAUUUACUUAAAACAUCCCCCCUAAAUCUCAGGUGGGGUAGUGAAGGUGAGUAGACCGUGGAGUGAGUAUGUUCAUCACUGAAUUCACCCUCUAAUGAGUUUAGCUACUGCAUGUGCUGUUAGAAGUGUAACCUGGCUAGGAUCAGGAUUAUGUGGGCAUAAACUGAAAAGUACCAUCAUUCUCUGGCUUUUCUUUGCAUACUCUCCCUUUUGGUUACCAUGACAUGAGAAGCCUUUUCUUCCCCGGUCCUUCCACCAGCAGGCCUUUGUCUCAGAGCCAGUCAGCAUGAACCAAAAGAGUAAGUAUUCUGCUCUUCAAAUUGCAAAUGUCAGGUGUUUCACCCCUGUGAACAGAAAAGACACUAAAACACCAAAAAUGUUUUCAAGGAGGAAAAUCAAGAUAACACUUUGCUUAAUAAUAAUAAAUAGCAGGAACUGCAAUACUAGUUGUAUAACUAAUAAUACUAGUUCUUGGAGUGUGUCAGUCUAUUCUUAACAUGCAUUUCAGUUUAUUGAUAAUGUCACCUAGUUCUUCUAUAUGGAAAAGUGUUUCAUCUGAUUCUUUGCUUUGAGUCAGUGUAACUAUCUCAGAACUCCAUUUUGUUGUUUACAAACUAUAUUCAAAUUUCUCUCUUUGAGAAACACUGAAAUUAGUCAAUAGGACUGAAAGCUAUAAUUGAUGAAAUAUGAUAUUGCACUCUAAAAUUCAAUUGCAGAAACCCUAAACCCAGAGCACCUCUGAGGGGUGCUCACUCUUUUUGUGUUGCAACAUUGUUCAAGAAUACAGAGCACACAUGUAGGAAGCCAGAAAUGGGAGUUAAUUUGGCAAAAACUGCAGUCCUUGACUGCAGAAAAGGGUUUUUACGGAUUUAAAAAUGAAACCAAACUGCUCCCUAAGUCUCAAAGAAAAAAAUAAAAGAAAGCAGAGGCAGGUUUCCCUGAGAAGUCCACCUUGACCCCUCCUCAGCUGCCAGAGUCCCUGCCAGCACCUACAGCAUCACUCCCCCCUCCCAACUCACCUCCUUCCAGCCCUGCACCAGUUCCAGUCAACCGCUGCCCACACUCAGCCACAGAGGUCCUCUCUCCAGAGCCUUCUGUUUCCUACACUGAUCAGAUAGCAGCAUUUAAUGCUUACCCACAACAGCUGCAGCAAUUCCUUCUGAGUUCUACAUUUUGACCAAGAAAUAUAGGGCUGUCAGCCCUGAUGAAUGAGUUACCAUAACAUUUCCCAAAGGUUACUUUUCCUUAGAAAUAGCCCAAUGAAGAACAUCUCAGACAUCAAAAAGGGACACAAAAGCUAAUCACCUGCCAUCACCCAAAAACCUGAUUAAAGCAUAUGAUGUCCAUAAGAAAAUUCAGCCUGAUAGACAGUCAUACCCUCUGGCUUCAGGCUAUUGACACCAGAAAAAUGUUCUUUCCAUAUGCAAGACAUAAAGAAACCUGACUAUCCAGGCCCCCUCAGCCUGAAACUCUUUUCUCCAUGUUGGGGCUGGAUAAAGAGGACAAAUAUUGAGCUCUAUCAAAUUGGGCCCCUGAGAACCUGCAGUCACUGUAGAAGUUGGGGCAAAUCUGGGCCUCCUGAUAGACAAUGGAACAGAACCCUCUUACCCUCCAAAGUUCCCUCUGUCAAAAGUUACCAUUUGGGGCAGCUGGGACUCUUAUCUCUCACUCUUUAUUUCAGGCACUAACUUACAGCCUGGAAGGACACCUCACCAACAUCAGUUCCUGUCUGAGAAGAGGCUUGCUCUUCAAAUUAGAAGGGACCAUCACUUUUACACCAAGUCAGUCAGCCUCCCCGUCACUUGAUCCCUGAGAGGAACACAAUGCGUGCAUGAGAAAAUAACUGCUGUGCCAUCAAUAGUACAGCCAUCACUUUGCACUCUGUGCUUCCCAACCCAUACACUUUUGUUGCACUGCUCUAGCUCACUUGGUCUCAGUUGUGCUAAGGAAUUAAGGACUCUCCCAUUACUUGGGUGGGGGAGGGGCCGAGGACAUAUUUGGGCAAGCCACCAACACCUUUUCUCUGAGACAGCCUAUUUCUCUGUUUCCUUCAGCUCUGUUAUGGUCUCCUGAGCAAACACUGUAGACUGUCAUACUGCUAAAAUAGGCCUCUCCUGUGUGUAAGGCCCGGUCGGAAUCUCUGAGCUAACAAUGCUGCAGCAGUUGGCCUCCAUAUGCACUGCCUCAGACUUCUGCCACCUGCUGUCUGCUGGCAUAGCUGUCAGGACCUAAAGAAUAUCUCCUGCCUUUGAUUUGCUCCUGUCAGCCAGUUCAUGUUUGUUUUAAGAUGGAAAGACCCACCCAGGCAUCAAAAAAUUAUGUGUCCUCUUUUCGAGAAUCCCUCACAAAUGACCUUGUUGAUUUCCCAUCACAACCUAUUGCAGCACUUCUGACUGAUGACAUCCAAGCUGCCUGCUGGAAAGACUGAAAAACUCUGCACAAUGUCUUGCACAAACUGACUACAAGAAAAAAUCCACAAAUUUCUUAGAGCUUCUGCAUCCUAUAAAAUGUGGGCCCUUGAGUUCACAUAAACAAUGAUGCUUACUCAGGGCUGCCUAGUCCCUUUUUUAUCUUCAUGCUCUAAUAGCUGCUGUCCUUGCGAUUAAGAAACCUGACAAGCUCAUCUUAGUCCAAGCCCUCAUUGUCCAGGUGCCUCAUGCUGUACUGGACAUCUCGAGUAACUGUCGACCACCCAGUCCUGACAUGUGUCUGCCCACCAUGCUUGGCCCACCAGAUUGUGCCUAAAAUCUGACUCCCUCUGAUGGAUGCUGAGUAUACCCUGCUUAUGAAUGCAAGUGGCUCAUUCACAACAAGUUAGAGAUGCUGUAGUCACCUUGGAUGAAGUUAUUUUGGCCAAAACUCUACUACUGCUUCCUGCUGCUGUUUGGAAACCUGCUACCAAAAUAUUACAUGAAACUCCAUUAGAAUGUACAAUCUUAUGUCUUAUUGUAUCAUCUAAAAUAAAUUUCACAAAGUGAAUGAAACAUGAUGAAGAAAUGUUCAGAUAAAACAGAAAAUAAAAUAGAGUUUAAACUGUUUCCUUCCAGUUACACGCAGCUGGGCCUCUGCUUUGUACAUAAGACACACCAGACCACUUUGCUUUUCCUCUUCUCACAGGCAUUUUCACAUCGUGAAAACAUGGUUCUGUUUGCAUGCCUGCCUCCCAAUCCUUCUUACCUUUCUGGACCACAGAAAUCUAAUGGAAAUAAUCUCAUCCCUCAUUUCAGUGUUUUAUCUUUGCAUACUGUGUACUAAAUUGUCAGACUGCAAAUCCAUUCUUUGCUGUGGCCUGUGUCACAUCCUCUUAUUCUUGCUGAUAAGUAUUCAAUUAAUGCAUAGGAAUGAAUAAUAUUGAACUGUUCUUAUUGGUAUUUUUAGUUAUCAAAAUCAUUUAAAUACAUUAAAAUACAUAUCAAAAUCUUCA